rnacentral:rRNA from 1 species
GUGGGGAAUAUUGCACAAUGGGCGAAAGCCUGAUGCAGCAACGCCGCGUGAGGGACGACGGCCUUCGGGUUGUAAACCUCUUUUAGUAGGGAAGAAGCGAAAGUGACGGUACCUGCAGAAAAAGCACCGGCUAACUACGUGCCAGCAGCCGCGGUAAUACGUAGGGUGCAAGCGUUAUCCGGAAUUAUUGGGCGUAAAGAGCUCGUAGGCGGUCUGUCGCGUCUGCUGUGAAAACUGGAGGCUCAACCUCCAGCGUGCAGUGGGUACGGGCAGACUAGAGUGCGGUAGGGGAGAUUGGAAUUCCUGGUGUAGCGGUGGAAUGCGCAGAUAUCAGGAGGAACACCGAUGGCGAAGGCAGAUCUCUGGGCCGUAACUGACGCUGAGGAGCGAAAGCGUGGGGAGCGAACAGGAUUAGAAACCCGUGUAGUCC